UCCUUUUAUUGCUAACAUUUUAGGAUGCUACAUGCAGGUUUCUGCCAGUGGAUAUUCUCAAGGCUAACCGUAACUUUAAAACAACAAAGCCACGAAAUGACAUACACAAGCGGAAUGUGCUUUACAAUACAUAAUACAAUAAAAAUACUUUGCUUAAAUAAAUCAUGACAGAUGAAUUCAUCUUCUCUUUAGAAAAAUCCAAUCUAAUGUAAAGAUGCCCCUUUCAGCACCAGGGGCUACAACCCUCCUUGUCCUCGGAAAUAAGCAAAUGAAACUUCAUGUUCCCGGGGAUGGUAAGUCAAGUUGAAACCUGUUGUCACAGCCCCGUGGAAAAUGUAGAUCCGUAAGAUUUCAUGCCAGACGUUGGGUGCCAGACAUCUUGCGAUGGGGGAGGCGGAGAAGGGGAAGGCGGGCAAGAAAGAUAGUGGUUAAAUGGAAGCAAAUAAAAUCGUACUCCUAGCCAUCCAGACAGCAUUCUUCUCUGACACGUUCGUGAUACUGAUCUCAGCCGUGAAGUCCAUGAGGAGACGCGCCCUGUGAGCCCCUUGGGGUAGAAGGUGUUUUGUGUCAGAACUGGCUUGGUGCAAAGGGGCGUUUUUAAUCACUUUGCGUACGACUCUAUUUUCUAGCUCCAUAGAGUGUUGGGGCCUUUAGCGUCUGAGAAAAAAAGAAAUAACCAAAUCAGCGUGCGACAGAAAGUUGUGUUUGCGCCCUGUGCAUCUGGCAUGGUUUUCAUUCACGUUUCAUCCUGCCCGGUCUUAGAGUCUCAGAGGAAAUAACCGGAAGCCUCUCCUGAUCUGUUCAGCCCCAUGUUUUCACUUUUGUCUUGAAACAAAUGGCCGAAUAAACAAACGAUUUGUUUUUCAUAGACUACUGUUCUAUGGAGCUCCCAUAUUAUCCUGUUCAAAUUUACUUCUUAAAAAAUUAAAAUCCUGCUUGGCAUGAGAAUCUGGCUGAGUAAGGAUAUUUUGGUCACAAAACUAAACAAAAUGAAAGGUUUAGAAGACAGGCAAAACAGACAGCUGGAUCUUUGGAAUUUAGACAAUGGGUUUCUUUGGGUUCAUUAAAAAGAGAAAAUAAGGCAACAAUCAUAACUUCUCAAUUUGACUUUGCAUUACUUCUCCAAAUUUCAGAAAAGGUUUUUGAAUUCAACAAUCCUAUCCUAACAAACCUUUUCCCACUCUUUCUUGCAAGAGAUGACCAUGAGCUCAGUGGCAGAUCGUUUGUUCCAGCUCUGUUCCAUUUCUGAGAUGGGACUGCAGCUGCCUGGACACAAACGGUCUGCCUGUCGGUGCUGGGGAAAUGGAGUGGACCAGCCCAGGUCUGAGACCAGGUGAAAAGCAUCCAGCUCUAAUUCUUGCAACAUUAGUGGAAUCUGGGAAAAAGCAAAACAAAACACCCCCCUUCCUGCCCCCAGAAAAAAACCCUAAACCAAAAAAAGCUUAAUCUUUAAGAGGGUAAGACUGUUGAAUCUUUUUGUAAAUAGUCUAACCUCAAAUGGAGGCAUUUAAGUGCCUGUGUCUGUGCUGUGUGUGUGGGAUCAGAGGGAAUAAAACCUCAUUGCUUUUA